CAGCCAAGUAGCAUUUCUCCCGUUCGUCCAUUGCUCCUUUAUUUCUCUCUACCUCACAAUGGCAAAUGCCGGAGUUGUAACCGUCUACGGCAACGGCGCUAUCUAUGAAACCACCACUAAGAAAUCCCCCUUCUCCGUCAAGGUGGGCCUUGCCCAGAUGCUCCGCGGCGGCGUUAUCAUGGACGUCGUCAACGCCGAUCAAGCCCGCAUGGCCGAGGAAGCCGGCGCCUGCGCAGUCAUGGCCUUGGAGCGCGUGCCCGCUGACAUCCGCGCUC
rnacentral:misc_RNA from 1 species